rnacentral:rRNA from 1 species
AUUGAACGCUGGCGGCAGGCCUAACACAUGCAAGUCGAGCGGUAGAGAGGUGCUUGCAUCUCUUGAGAGCGGCGGACGGGUGAGUAAUGCCUAGGAAUCUGCCUAGUGGUGGGGGAUAACGUUCGGAAACGGACGCUAAUACCGCAUACGUCCUACGGGAGAAAGCGGGGGAUCUUCGGACCUCGCGCCAUUAGAUGAGCCUAGGUCGGAUUAGCUAGUUGGUGAGGUAAUGGCUCACCAAGGCGACGAUCCGUAACUGGUCUGAGAGGAUGAUCAGUCACACUGGAACUGAGACACGGUCCAGACUCCUACGGGAGGCAGCAGUGGGGAAUAUUGGACAAUGGGACGAAGACCUGAUCCAGCAAUGCCGCGUGCAGGA